rnacentral:rRNA from 1 species
UGGGGAAUAUUGCACAAUGGGCGCAAGCCUGAUGCAGCAACGCCGCGUGAACGAUGAAGGUCUUCGGAUCGUAAAGUUCUGUUGCAGGGGAAGAUAAUGACGGUACCCUGUGAGGAAGCCCCGGCUAACUACGUGCCAGCAGCCGCGGUAAUACGUAGGGGGCUAGCGUUGUCCGGAAUUACUGGGCGUAAAGAGCUCGUAGGCGGUUUGUCACGUCGUCUGUGAAAUCCUAGGGCUUAACCCUGGACGUGCAGGCGAUACGGGCUGACUUGAGUACUACAGGGGAGACUGGAAUUUCUGGUGUAGCGGUGGAAUGCACAGAUAUCAGGAAGAACACCGAUGGCGAAGGCAGGUCUCUGGGUAGUAACUGACGCUGAGGAGCGAAAGCAUGGGUAGCGAACAGG